UAACUGAAGAGUUUGAUCAUGGCUCAGAUUGAACGCUGGCGGCAGGCUUAACACAUGCAAGUCGAGCGGUAACAGAGAGUAGUUUACUAUUCUGCUGACGAGCGGCGGACGGGUGAGUAAUGCCUAGGAAUCUGCCUAGUAGUGGGGGAUAACUUGCCGAAAGGUAAGCUAAUACCGCAUACGUCCUACGGGAGAAAGCAGGGGACCUUCGGGCC
rnacentral:rRNA from 1 species